GACGAACCGUCCGAACGUUAUUCGGAAUCACUGGGCUUAAAGGGUGCGUAGGCGGCGUAGUAAGUAGGGUGUGAGAUCCCUCGGCUCAACCGAGGAACUGCGCCCUAAACUACUAUGCUUGAGGGAGAUAGAGGUGAGCGGAACUUAGGGUGGAGCGGUGAAAUGCGUUGAUAUCCUAAGGAACACCGGUGGCGAAAGCGGCUCACUGGAUCUCUUCUGACGCUGAGGCACGAAAGCUAGGGUAGCAAACGGG
rnacentral:rRNA from 1 species